AAAUUGAAGAGUUUGAUCAUGGCUCAGAUUGAACGCUGGCGGCAGGCCUAACACAUGCAAGUCGAGCGGUAGCACAGAGAGCUUGCUCUCGGGUGACGAGCGGCGGACGGGUGAGUAAUGUCUGGGAAACUGCCUGAUGGAGGGGGAUAACUACUGGAAACGGUAGCUAAUACCGCAUAAUGUCGCAAGACCAAAGUGGGGGACCUUCGGGCCUCAUGCCAUCAGAUGUGCCCAGAUGGGAUUAGCUAGUAGGUGGGGUAACGGCUCACCUAGGCGACGAUCCCUAGCUGGUCUGAGAGGAUGACCAGCCACACUGGAACUGAGACACGGUCCAGACUCCUACGGGAGGCAGCAGUGGGGAAUAUUGCACAAUGGGCGCAAGCCUGAUGCAGCCAUGCCGCGUGUGUGAAGAAGGCCUUCGGGUUGUAAAGCACUUUCAGCGGGGAGGAAGGCGGUAAGGUUAAUAACCUCAUCGAUUGACGUUACCCGCAGAAGAAGCACCGGCUAACUCCGUGCCAGCAGCCGCGGUAAUACGGAGGGUGCAAGCGUUAAUCGGAAUUACUGGGCGUAAAGCGCACGCAGGCGGUCUGUCAAGUCGGAUGUGAAAUCCCCGGGCUCAACCUGGGAACUGCAUUCGAAACUGGCAGGCUAGAGUCUUGUAGAGGGGGGUAGAAUUCCAGGUGUAGCGGUGAAAU
rnacentral:rRNA from 1 species